CAGCAGCCGCGGGAAUACAGAGGGUGCGAGCGUUAAUCGGAUUUACUGGGCGUAAAGCGUGCGUAGGCGGCUUCUUAAGUCGGAUGUGAAAUCCCUGAGCUUAACUUAGGAAUUGCAUUCGAUACUGGGAAGCUAGAGUAUGGGAGAGGAUGGUAGAAUUCCAGGUGUAGCGGUGAAAUGCGUAGACAUCUGGAGGAAUACCGAUGGCGAAGGCAGCCAUCUGGCCUAAUACUGACGCUGAGGUACGAAAGCAUGGGGAGCAAACAGGAUUAGAUACCCCGGUAGUCCCUGUCUCUUAUAC
rnacentral:rRNA from 1 species